GUCUAUCAAUUGCAUUAAUUUAAAUACUUCAUUUAAUCUCGUGACCAAAAACCGGAAGCUUCAAAAAAUGUAUUGCUAAUUUAUUUAGUAAUGAAAUUUAAUAGCCGUAACAAUUCAUACGAACCAAAAAUGUAGUCAUAUAUUGAACGGUUUUGAUUUAACAUUUUGGUGAGGUGAUCACAAUUGCUGUUAUAAUUAGAUUUUUUUUAUUUGGUUAAUCCGACUUGACUGCACAUUGCAUGAUGGUGAUAAUGAAUGAUCUGCGUUUUAAUGAAGCAAUUAAAAAUUAUACGCAGCUUUAACAGAAAACCUGUCUAGCUUUCAUCUUUAGACUGCAGUUUGCAAAUGGCGUUGAAAGAGGUGUUAUUGCUCACGUAUUUUAUUUUUUCAAAGUAAUUAAAGCGAGACCCAUUGAGACUGAUUCAGAGGACUUUCAACAAAAGUUAUGAAACUUAACAAAGGAAAUUGCAAGAAACAAAACAGACCUAAAAUGUACAGGCUCUGAACUGAAAUCAUUUGGAUAGCAAAAGGGAACCAUGGAAAACAAUGGAGUUGCAGAAGUAUUAACAUUUGUGCCAGGGAGCUGUGAUGCUUACCAGGUGUGUUCUGCUUCCUUCUGGUAAACAGUGUCCUCUUCUGUCCUUGUGUGACGAUCUCUCCUUUGGCCAAUCUACAAAACAAUUGAUGGAAGUGGUCAAGUGUGAAAGCAGGAAAAAAGUCUGUUUACGGCAGUAAUUUACAGUCUAGGGAUCUUCAUCUUGUGCGUCAGAGAACCAAUCAACUUGUCAGCUAUGUGGCCUGUCUUGGAAGGAACAGUUGCAGCUCCUUAGUUUCCCAUAAAAGUCCCAUUCCUGUAGUGACUUGA